GACGAGUGGCGCACGGGUGCGUAACGCGUAUAGAACCUACCUUUUACUAGGAAAUAGCCCAUGGAAACGUGGAUUAAUGUCCCAUAAUAACAUUUAAUGGCAUCAUUUGAAUGUUUAAAGCUUCGGCGGUAGAAGAUGGCUAUGCGUCCCAUUAGUUAGUAGGCGAGGUAACGGCUCACCUAGGCUUCGAUGGGUAGGGGCCCUGAGAGGGGGAUCCCCCACACUGGUACUGAGACACGGACCAGAC
rnacentral:rRNA from 14 species